rnacentral:rRNA from 1 species
UUACCGCGGCUGCUGGCACGUAGUUAGCCGUGGCUUUCUCGUCAGGUACCGUCAAGGUACCGGCAGUUACUCCGAUACUUGUUCUUCCCUGACAACAGAGCUUUACGACCCGAAGGCCUUCUUCGCUCACGCGGCGUUGCUCCGUCAGACUUUCGUCCAUUGCGGAAGAUUCCCUACUGCUGCCUCCCGUAGGGCA